GUUUGCAAUCUACCUCUAACUGGAGGAUAGCCCGAAGAAAUUCGGAUUAAUACUCCAUAAAGUCAUAAUUUCGCAUGUUAUUAUGAUUAAAGCUUCGGCGGUUAGAGAUGAGCAUGCGUGUCAUUAGCUUGUUGGUGAGGUAACGGCUCACCAAGGCAACGAUGACUAGGGGUUCUGAGAGGAUGAUCCCCCACACUGGUACUGAGACACGGACCAGACUCCUACGGGAGGCAGCAGUGAGGAAUAUUGGGCAAUGGGCGAAAGCCUGACCCAGCCAUGCCGCGUGCAGGAUGACUGCCCUAUGGGUUGUAAACUGCUUUUAUACGGGAAGAAUGGUUCCUACGUGUAGGGAUUUGACGGUACCGUAAGAAUAAGCAUCGGCUAACUCCGUGCCAGCAGCCGCGGUAAUACGGAGGAUGCAAGCGUUAUCCGGAUUCAUUGGGUUUAAAGGGUGCGCAGGCGGAAUAUUAAGUCAGUGGUGAAAUCCUGCAGCUUAACUGUAGAACUGCCAUUGAUACUGAUAUUCUUGAAUGUAGUUGAGGUGGGCGGAAUGUGUAAUGUAGCGGUGAAAUGCUUAGAUAUUACACAGAACACCGAUUGCGAAGGCAGCUCACUAAACUAACAUUGACGCUGAGGCACGAAAGCGUGGGGAGCGAACAGGAUUAGAUACCCUGGUAGUCCACGCUGUAAACUAUGAUCACUCGCUGUUGGCAAUACAUCGUCAGCGGCUGAGCGAAAGCAUUAAGUGAUCCACCUGGGGAUUGCGAUCGCAAGAUUGAAACUCAAAGGAAUUGUCGGGGGCCCGCACAAGCGGAGGAACAUGUGGUUUAAUUCGAUGAUACGCGAGGAACCUUACCUGGGCUUAAAUGCAGAUCGACGUUCCGGGAAACCGGAAUUCCUUCGGGCGAACUGCAAGGUGCUGCAUGGCAGUCGUCAGCUCGUGCCGUGAGGUGUCGGGUUAAGUCCCAUAACGAGCGCAACCCUUAUCGUUAAGUUGCCACCGGGUAAUGCCGGGAACUCUAACGAAACUGCCGGUGUAAACCGUGAGGAAGGUGGGGAUGACGUCAAGUCAGCACGGCCCUUAUGUCCAG
rnacentral:rRNA from 1 species